UCUAGUCUGCCCAAUUUUCUAAAUACUUUCAUUAGUCCCUAGCCUUAUCUUAUAGUUAGGAUAGCCUUAUGCCUAUCCCACGUAUGCUUAAACUCCUUUACUGUGUUAACCUCUACCACUUCAGCUGGAAGGCUAUUCCAGUCUAGAAGGUCUUAGCUAACAUUAUCUUGGAAACCUCUGUAGUCCUCCUAAUGAAAGUGGGGGGAUACCCUCCUCUUCUCUGCUGGUCUUAUACCUGUCUUGUAGAACACCUUAG